rnacentral:rRNA from 1 species
GAUGAACGCUGGCGGCGUGCCUAAUACAUGCAAGUCGAGCGAACGGACGAGAAGCUCGUUCUUCUGAUGUUAGCGGCGGACGGGUGAGUAACACGUAGAUAACCUACCUAUCUGCAUGGGAUAACUUCGGGACACCGGCGACAACACCUGCUAAUUUUUUUAAACGCACGGCUUAACAGUGAAAGACGGUCUUGCUGUCUCUUAUUGAUCGAUCCGCGCUGCAUUAGCUGGUUGCUAAGGAAACGGCUUACUAAGGCAACGAUGCAUAGCCGACCUGUGAGAGUGAUCGGCCACACGGGAACGGAGACACGGUCCAGACGCCUACGGGAGGCAGCAGUAGGAAAUCUUCCGCAAUGGGCGAAGGCCGGACGAGGCAACGCCGCGUGGGUGAGGAAGGUCUUCGGAUCGUAAAACUCUGUUAUUAGGAAGGAACGUAUGUGUAAGUAACUGUGCACAUCUUGACGGUACCUGAUCAGAAAGCCACGGCUAACUACGUG